rnacentral:rRNA from 1 species
UAGGGAAUCUUCGGCAAUGGGGGCAACCCUGACCGAGCAACGCCGCGUGAGUGAAGAAGGUUUUCGGAUCGUAAAGCUCUGUUGUAAGAGAAGAACGUGUGUGAGAGUGGAAAGUUCACACAGUGACGGUAACUUACCAGAAAGGGACGGCUAACUACGUGCCAGCAGCCGCGGUAAUACGUAGGUCCCGAGCGUUGUCCGGAUUUAUUGGGCGUAAAGCGAGCGCAGGCGGUUUAAUAAGUCUGAAGUUAAAGGCAGUGGCUUAACCAUUGUUCGCUUUGGAAACUGUUAAACUUGAGUGCAGAAGGGGAGAGUGGAAUUCCAUGUGUAGCGGUGAAAUGCGUAGAUAUAUGGCGGAACACCGGUGGCGAAAGCGGCUCUCUGGUCUGUAACUGACGCUGAGGCUCGAAAGCGUGGGGAGCAAACAGG